CCUACGGGUGGCAGCAGUGGGGAAUAUUGCACAAUGGGCGCAAGCCUGAUGCAGCCAUGCCGCGUGUGUGAAGAAGGCCUUCGGGUUGUAAAGCACUUUCAGCGGGGAGGAAGGCGGUGAGGUUAAUAACCUCAUCGAUUGACGUUACCCGCAGAAGAAGCACCGGCUAACUCCGUGCCAGCAGCCGCGGUAAUACGGAGGGUGCAAGCGUUAAUCGGAAUUACUGGGCGUAAAGCGCACGCAGGCGGUCUGUCAAGUCGGAUGUGAAAUCCCCGGGCUCAACCUGGGAACUGCAUUCGAAACUGGUAGGCUAGAGUCUUGUAGAGGGGGGUAGAAUUCCAGGUGUAGCGGUGAAAUGCGUAGAGAUCUGGAGGAAUACCGGUGGCGAAGGCGGCCCCCUGGACAAAGACUGACGCUCAGGUGCGAAAGCGUGGGGAGCAAACAGGAUUAGAUACCCUAGUAGUC
rnacentral:rRNA from 1 species